rnacentral:rRNA from 1 species
UACGUAGGGUGCGAGCGUUAAUCGGAAUUACUGGGCGUAAAGGGUGCGCAGGCGGCUCCGCAUGUCGGGCGUGAAAGCCCCGGGCUUAACCCGGGAAUGGCGUCGAAACUAUGGAGCUGGAGUGUGGCAGAGGGAGGUGGAAUUCCACGUGUAGCGGUGAAAUGCGUAGAGAUGUGGAGGAACACCGAUGGCGAAGGCAGCCUCCUGGGCCAACACUGACGCUCAUGCACGAAAGCGUGGGGAGCAAACAGG